AGAGUUUGAUCCUGGCUCAGAUUGAACGCUGGCGGCAGGCCUAACACAUGCAAGUCGAGCGAGAAAGCACUUCGGUGUGAGUAGAGCGGCGGACGGGUGAGUAACGCGUAGGAAUUUGCCCAGUAGUGGGGGACAACAUGUGGAAACGCAUGCUAAUACCGCAUACGCCCUAUGGGGGAAAGCAGGGGAUCUUCGGACCUUGCGCUAUUGGAGAAGCCUGCGUCGGAUUAGCUAGUUGGUGGGGUAAAGGCCCACCAAGGCAACGAUCCGUAGCUGGUCUGAGAGGAUGAUCAGCCACACUGGAACUGAGACACGGUCCAGACUCCUACGGGAGGCAGCAGUGGGGAAUAUUGGACAAUGGGCGAAAGCCUGAUCCAGCCAUGCCGCGUGUGUGAAGAAGGCCUUAGGGUUGUAAAGCACUUUCAGUAGGGAGGAAAAGUUAGUCGUUAAUAACGGCUAGCCGUGACGUUACCUACAGAAGAAGCACCGCAAACU
rnacentral:rRNA from 1 species